rnacentral:rRNA from 1 species
CCUACGGGAGGCAGCAGUGGGGAAUAUUGCGCAAUGGGCGAAAGUCUGACCCAGCGACGCCGCGUGAGGGAAGACGGUCUUCGGAUUGUAAACCUCUUUCAGCAGGGAAGACAAAAGGACGUUACCUGCAGAAGAAGCCACGGCUAACUACGUGCCAGCAGCCGCGGUAAUACGUAGGUGGCAAGCUUUAUCCGGAAUUACGGGGUGGAAAGGGUGAGUAGGCGGGUUUGCAAGUCAGAUGUGAAAAUUAUGGGCUAAACCCAUAACCUGCGUCUGAAACUACAGAUCUUGAGAGUAGGAGAGGUAAACGGAAUGCCCGGUGUAGCGGUGAAAUGCGCAGAGAUCGGGAGGAACACCAGUGGCGAAGGCGGUUUACUGGACCACAACUGACGCUGAGACACGAAAGCGUGGGGAGCAAACAGGAUUAGAUACCCUUGUAGUC